UACGAAGGGGGCUAGCGUUGCUCGGAAUUACUGGGCGUAAAGCGCACGUAGGCGGCUUGUUAAGUCAGGGGUGAAAUCCUGGAGCUCAACUCCAGAACUGCCUUUGAUACUGGCGAGCUUGAGUUCGGGAGAGGUGAGUGGAACUGCGAGUGUAGAGGUGAAAUUCGUAGAUAUUCGCAAGAACACCAGUGGCGAAAGGCGGCUCACUGGCCCGAUACUGACGCUGAGGCACGAAAGCGUGGGGAGCAAACAGG
rnacentral:rRNA from 1 species